CAUGUAUAUAGGGGACGCACAUCAGUAUCUUGGCCCGUGGCAAGGAAUUGCACAAGCAAACUGUCCAAGACAACCUAAAAGCCAAGAAUGCGGUUUUUAUGUUUUGAAAUAUAUGACUGACAUCGUCGCACGUGCCAACCCCAACCGUUACAUAGAAGAUCAAAAAGCUUUUGGGGGUAAGAAGCAAUACGAUCCAAAAACAGAAAUUUUACCACUACAGCGAAAGUGGAUCGAACAAUUGAUGGCGGUGAUUCACGGUGACGAUUGAGGUUCAAAGGUCGAAGAAUUUUUCUUCAUUAUGUAAUUUUUAUAGAUUAACUUGUAAUUAGAUUUAUUAACUUAUUAAUAUUUUUAACUAAUUUUACAUGUUUGUGUAAUAUUUAAUUAUUUUUAUGAAAUCAAAUUAUGUUUU